rnacentral:misc_RNA from 1 species
UUUCCGUAGGUGAACCUGCGGAGGGAUCAUUACUGAGUGAGGGCUCACGCCCGACCUCCAACCCUUUGUGAACACAUCUUGUUGCUUCUGGGGCGACCCUGCCGGCACUCUGUCGCCGGGCGCCACCGAAGGCCUCCAAACACUGCAUCUUUGCGUCGGAGUUUAAAACAAAUUAAACAAAACUUUCAACGACGGAUCUCUUGGUGCUGGCAUCGAUGAAGAACGCAGC